CCAAAAUCCGGGAUCUUAAGGCCGAGAGCUGAUGACGAGUGUCCUUUAGGACACGAAGUGGUUGAUGCCAUGCUUCCAAGAAAAGCUUCUAAGCUUCAGGUAACCAGGAACCGUACCCCAAACCGACACAGGUGGUUGGGUAGAGAAUACCAAGGCGCUUGAGAGAACUCGGGUGAAGGAACUAGGCAAAAUGGCACCGUAACUUCGGGAGAAGGUGCGCCGGUGAGGGUGAAGCAUUUACUGCGUAAGCCCACGCCGGUCGAAGAUACCAGGCCGCUGCGACUGUUUAUUAAAAACACAGCACUCUGCAAACACGAAAGUGGACGUAUAGGGUGUGACGCCUGCCCGGUGCCGGAAGGUUAAUUGAUGGGGUUAGCUAACGCGAAGCUCUUGAUCGAAGCCCCGGUAAACGGCGGCCGUAACAAUAACGGUCCUAAGGUAGCGAAAUUCCUUGUCGGGUAAGUUCCGACCUGCACGAAUGGCGUAACGAUGGCGGCGCUGUCUCCACCCGAGACUCAGUGAAAUUGAAAUCGCUGUGAAGAUGCAGUGUAUCCGCGGCUAGACGGAAAGACCCCGUGAACCUUUACUAUAGCUUUGCACUGGACUUUGAAUUUGCUUGUGUAGGAUAGGUGGGAGGCUUUGAAGCGUGGACGCCAGUCUGCGUGGAGCCAACCUUGAAAUACCACCCUGGCAACUUUGAGGUUCUAACUCAGGUCCGUUAUCCGGAUCGAGGACAGUGUAUGGUGGGUAGUUUGACUGGGGCGGUCUCCUCCUAAAGAGUAACGGAGGAGUACGAAGGUGCGCUCAGACCGGUCGGAAAUCGGUCGUAGAGUAUAAAGGCAAAAGCGCGCUUGACUGCGAGACAGACACGUCGAGCAGGUACGAAAGUAGGUCUUAGUGAUCCGGUGGUUCUGUAUGGAAGGGCCAUCGCUCAACGGAUAAAAGGUACUCCGGGGAUAACAGGCUGAUACCGCCCAAGAGUUCAUAUCGACGGCGGUGUUUGGCACCUCGAUGUCGGCUCAUCACAUCCUGGGGCUGAAGCCGGUCCCAAGGGUAUGGCUGUUCGCCAUUUAAAGUGGUACGCGAGCUGGGUUUAGAACGUCGUGAGACAGUUCGGUCCCUAUCUGCCGUGGACGUUUGAGAUUUGAGAGGGGCUGCUCCUAGUACGAGAGGACCGGAGUGGACGAACCUCUGGUGUUCCGGUUGUCACGCCAGUGGCAUUGCCGGGUAGCUAUGUUCGGAAUAGAUAACCGCUGAAAGCAUCUAAGCGGGAAACUAGCCUCAAGAUGAGAUCUCACUGGAACCUUGAGUUCCCUGAAGGGCCGUCGAAGACUACGACGUUGAUAGGUGGGGUGUGUAAGCGCUGUGAGGCGUUGAGCUAACCCAUACUAAUUGCCCGUGAGGCUUGACC
rnacentral:rRNA from 1 species